GACGUAGGGUGCAAGCGUUGUCCGGAAUUAUUGGGCGUAAAGAGCUCGUAGGCGGUUUGUCGCGUCUGCUGUGAAAACUCAGGGCUUAACCCUGAGCCUGCAGUGGGUACGGGCAGACUAGAGUGUGGUAGGGGAGAUCGGAAUUCCUGGUGUAGCGGUGGAAUGCGCAGAUAUCAGGAGGAACACCGGUGGCGAAGGCGGAUCUCUGGGCCAUAACUGACGCUGAGGAGCGAAAGCAUGGGGAGCGAACGGG
rnacentral:rRNA from 1 species